CAACCUACCUUAGUUACUGGGAUAGCCCUAAGAAACUCGGAUUAAUACCGGAUAUUCUUAUUUAAUCACAUGAUUAUUUAAGGAAAGGUCAGCCGAACUAAGAUGGGCUCGCGUUCUAUCAGCUAGUUGGUAGGGUAAUGGCCUACCAAGGCUACGACGGAUAGCUGGUCUGAGAGGGUUAUCAGCCACACUGGGACUGAGACACGGCCCAGACUCCUACGGGAGGCUGCAGCAGGGAAUAUUGCCCAAUGAGCGAAAGCUU
rnacentral:rRNA from 1 species